rnacentral:rRNA from 1 species
GAUCAACGCUGGCGGCGUGCCUAACACAUGCAAGUCGAACGAUGAAGAUUAAAAGAUUUCUUCGGAACGAACUUAAUUGGCUUAGUGGCGACCGGGUGAGUAACGCGUGAGUAACCUGCCUUGUACACGGGGAUAGCCGUUGGAAACGACAAAUAAUAUCCUAUGACAUCAAAUAAUCGCAUGAUAAUUUGUUCCAAGAUUUAUCGGUAUAAGAUGGACUCGCGUCUGAUUAGCUAGAUGGUAGAGUAAAAGCCUACCAAGGCAACGAUCAGAAGCCGGCUUGAGAGAGUGUACGGCCACAUUGGGACUGGGACACGGCCCAGACCCCUACGGGAGGCAGCAGGGGUGAAUGUGGCACAAUGGGGGAAACCCGGAUGCAGCGACGCCGCGAGAUUUAGAAGGCCGUCGGGUUGUAAUAAUCUUGUGUAUGUGAAGAAAAUGACAGUACCAUACGAAUAAGGACCGGCUAAUUACGUG